GUAUCAGGCGUGACAUUAAAGCAAGACGCUUUGAUGCUCCACCUGAGAGUAAAUCUGUAAGGCUUGUUACCAGAUCUCAGACAUAAAUUCUGUUUGCUGUUUGCUUCACAGCCAGACAGGACACACACACACACACAAAAAAAAAAAAUAUAUAUAUAUAUAUAUAAAGAAAUGUCGUUUGCAAACAAAACGGGUCUCAGAGACACACACUGUAGACUCCCGAGCCACUAAAAAACGGAAAAAAUGUACGCGUGCUGCACACGCGCACACCGAUAGAAUGAUUGCCGUAAAGACAUUCGUGUUGCCGCUGACUGGGGUGAUCGAUCUUGCAUCCGUGGCAGAUUGUAGGUAAGUGAGCUUUGAUCGCCAUGUUGACCAAGUGAAGAAGCCGCAUCUUCACUCGGUCCAACUUGUCUUCUGAAAACACCCAGUUAGGCAGACAUUGAGGCUCCUCACCGGUGCUCUGGAUGUCGAGGGUCUGCUGCUGCUGCUGUUGGACACCAUCCUGCUCCCGAGCAGGUUGAGGCGAAACCAGUGGCGGGUCAGGGAUUGAUGUCACUGAAGGAUGCGCAGUAUCAGGACUCGCAGGAGUCUCGUCGAUCCAGGGUCGGAAUGGUACGUUAGCAGAGACAGCCUCCGGAACCUCCAUGAUUGUGGGGAGUCGUGGGAAGUUAUCCUCCGGAAAGCAUGAUGGUGGUGGCGGCGACGUGGGCCGCGGACUGCCGUUGUAUCUCGGUGGUGAUGAAGCCGCUAGUACCCAGCUCAGUUGCAGGGAAAAGCUGUCCGUGGUCCAUAGUUCAUCAAGGGUUGACUGAGUUUAGAAACCCAUCAUGCUGAUGCGCUAGAUCGUCUGGGAUGUAAUGGUUUCUACCUGAAACCUCUUUAUAACUAGUGCUGGGUGGGGGGCGUGGUUUGAUGAUGCGACUGUCGCUCCUUCUCCUUCUCCUGAGGCGGGGCUUAGAAUUCCAGCUUUUUUUCCAGAAUGUCUUUCCAGAAGCGGCUGGUACGAAAAGGUGAAGUGAUACGAUCCCCCACUUCAUCUAUUUUCUCACACCAGGCCUCGAAAGGUACAACCUGUAAAAGGCGGUAAAUACCGCAUUCAACGUGCACAUUUUCCAGCACAAAAAAGAGCUCCAAUCCUCCUUCAGGACCGAGGCCUUGAAAAUCCACUGCCCAACUGCUUCCUCCAGCCCCUCCCAUGAAGCGCUGAAAGCUAUCACGGCGUUCUGGAUUUCAUCCAGCAAUGGAAGAGCUUGCGGCCUGUUGCGUUUUACAGCCGAACGAGGUCUCUCACGAUCAUCUUUGUACACCUUGCGUGGAACUGCGAGGUUGAGCACUGCCCAGUCAUUGUAGGACAGAACCGCUGAAUGUGAUAAAUAUGGCUUGAGAGGUUCGUUCUCAGCCACAUCAUGGAUUAGACACAGCUCCUUAGUGUCAUAGCUGAACCGGUACCCAAAACUACCGGUAUAGCCGUAAGGUUCCAGCGGCCAUAUUUGCUCCAAGGACUCUUUACCGCCAAAAGGAGGAAGCUGCACUCUACAGAAUGUAGAUUUGCGGGAAGCACCACCCCCUGCAGGCAGCUGAUGGAUCACUAUGGAUUUUUCACAGAGCAAGAUCUGUGAUAGUGGCGAUGGCGAUGGCUGCUUCCCUAAUCCUCUUCCUUUACCUCACUCCUCUUCUACUCCUUCCCCCAUUUUUUCUCAUGCCUCACUGCAAGAACUCAAACUCAAACAGAGAAUAUUCAAUAUUUUUCUAGUCAAAAUCUCUCAGUACUCUAAACAUUGAGACAUUACCUAAAAGUAAGUUGUUUUUUACUUGUUUCCAAGUUAGAUUCACUUAUUUCAAGCUAAUGUAACACUUGGAUCAAACAGAAAAAAACUGUCAGUGGAACAAGGGUUUGCAACAAAGAAAAAAAUCUUAUUUCACUGGCAGAUUUUUCUUGAAAUUUGUGAAAUUGCACUUGAAACAAGUCAUAAACAAAUCUGUUUUAUGAUAAUGUCUUAAUCUCCUUUUUAAUCUUAUUGCAUUAUACUCUUCUUCUUCCUCCUCUUCUCCAUGCUUCUCUAAACCUCUCUCUCUUUUACCUGUCCUCCUCUUCUUCUCUUCCAUCUUGUCCUGGCCCCUUCCUCCAUUUUCUUCCAUUUUACUGUCUCUCCCUUUUCAUCUGUCCUCAUGCUCCUCUUCUCCUGCGAUUUUCUCCUCUUCCUCCUCCUGGAGCAAAAACCUCAUUAUUGCCUCUUAUUAAUAGGGGAACUGCAGUUUUUUGCAACUUGGACAUUAUUUCUAAAAUGUAAAAUGUUAAUUUACUCAUCCAGACAACUUUGGUGCUGUCUGAGUUUUUUGAGAUACAUAUAGGUUGUUUUAGUGGCCAGGGCUUUCAGUGGCAUCACGAUCGCGCACCAUCUUAGUUGUAGUUUGAGCAGAACUUUCACUCUGUGCCGUGUGAUGGUUGGUUAUGGAAUUAUAGGAAAAUGUACAAAUGCUGCUCAUACAACAACUAAGAUGGCGCAUGGCCAUGACUUCACUGAAAGCGCUGGCUACUGACAGCUAAGCGUCUGCUAGUUGUACUGAACAACUGUAAAACAUCCUGGAUAAUAACAUCAAUGCUCUGAACUAUCAGGUGAGUAGCGCUAGCGAUUUAUAUCAAAACAUUAGUAAAAUGAAGGCAUUUUGUGUCAGAUAAUGCCUCAUUUAGAGGCCAUUUGCAUUACCUAUUACAGGUAUCUCAUUAUAUGGAAAUUCAAUUCAAUUCAAUUCAAAAAUACUUUAUUAAUCCCAGAGGGAAAUUCCCCAUACACUUAUGGGGAAAAUCUCCCGGAGGACUCAGAUAGCACCAAAGUUGUCUGGAUGAGUAAAUGAACGUUUUGCAUGCUAGAAAUAAGGUCCAGGUUACAAAUAACAGCAGCUCCCCUUUAAACAACUUAAAUACAGUCAUGGAAAUGGGGUUAAGUAUUUUGAAAAGAACCCUGAUUAGAAACCCUUCCUCAUAUACAGUGGGGCAAAAAAGUAUUUAGUCAGCCACCGAUUGUGCAAGUUCUCCACUUAAAAUGAUGACAGAGGUCAUUAAUUUUCAUCAUAGGUACACUUCAACUGUGAGAGACAGAAUGUGAAAAAAAAUCCAUGAAUUCACAUGACAGGAUUUUUAAAGAAUUUAUUUGUAAAUCAGGGUGGAAAAUAAGUAUUUGGUCAAUAACAAAAAUUCAACUCAAUACUUUGUAACAUAACCUUUGUUGGCAAUAACAGAGGUCAAACGAUUACUAUAGGUCUUUACCAGGUUUGCACACACAGUAGCUGGUAUUUUGGCCCAUUCCUCCAUGCAGAUCUUAUCGAGAGCAGUGAUGUUUUGGAGCUGUCGCCGAGCAACACGGACUUUCAACUCCCUCCACAGAUUUUCUAUGGGGUUGAGGUCUGGAGACUGGCUAGGCCACUCCAGGACUUUCAAAUGCUUCUUACGGAGCUACUCCUUUGUUGCCCGGGCGGUGUGUUUGGGAUCAUUGUCGUGUUGGAAGACCCAGCCACGUUUCAUCUUCAAAGCUCUCACAGAUGGAAGAAGGUUUUGGCUCAAAAUCUCGCGAUACAUGGCCCCAUUCAUUCUGUCCUUAACACGGAUCAGUCGUCCUGUCCCCUUAGCAGAAAAACAGCCCCAAAGCAUGAUGUUCCCACCCCCAUGCUUCACAGUAGGUAUGGUGUUCUUGGGAUGCAACUCAGUAUUCUUCUUCCUCCAAACACGACGAGUUGAGUUUAUACCAAAAAGUUCUACUUUGGUUUCAUCUGACCACAUGACAUUCUCCCAAUCCUCUGCUGUAUCAUCCAUGUGCUCUCUGGCAAACUUCAAACGGACCUGGACAUGCACUGGCUUCAGCAGCGGAACACUGCAGGAUUUGAUUCCCUGCCGUUGUAGUGUGUUACUGAUGGUGACCUUUGUUACUGUGGUCCCAGCUCUCUGCAGGUCAUUCACCAGGUCCCCCCGUGUGGUUCUGGGAUUCUUGCUCGCCGUUCUCAUGAUCAUUUUGACCCCAUGGCAUGAGAUCUUGCGUGGAGCCCCAGAUCGAGGGAGAUUAUCAGUGGUCUUGUAUGUCUUCCAUUUUCUGAUAAUUGCUCCCACGGUUGAUUUUUUCACACCAAGCUGCUUGCCUAUUGUAGAUUCACUCUUCCCAGUCUGGUGCAGGUCUACAAUUCUUUUCCUGGUGUCCUUCGAAAGCUCUUUGGUCUUGGCCAUAGUGGAGUUUGGAGUCUGACUGUUUGAGGCUGUGGACAGGCGUCUUUUAUACAGAUAAUGAGUUCAAACAGGUGCCAUUAAUACAGGUAACAAGUGGAUCGAGCACAGAAAAGCUUCUUAAAGAAGACGUUACAGGUUUGUGAGAGCCAGAGAUUUUCCUUGUUUGAAGUGACCAAAUACUUAUUUUCCACCCUGAUUCACAAAUAAAUUCUUUUAAAAUCCUGCCAUGUGAAUUCAUUAAUUUUUUUUUCACAUUCUGUCUCUCACAGUUGAAGUGUACCUAUGAUGAAAAUUACUGACCUCUGUCAUCAUUUUAAGUGGGAGAACUUGCACAAUCGGUGGCUGACUAAAUACUUUUUUGCCCCACUGUAGGAAUACGUUAAUAUUUUUGUCAUCUUAUUCACAGGAUGAUUCUGUGGAAAUGAGGAGAGAGGUUUCAAUCCAUGGAUUGGUGGUGUACCUCAGAGAAAAGGAGGAGAAGCUCUUUAAAGAGCAGUCGGUUGAUCGGGAUCUCACCAACGAAGUGUUGAAAAUCAUUGUAACCAGAGGUGCCUCAUCUGAUCCAGCCAGCGCUCAGAUUGGAACGGUGGGAACAGAAGUCCUGGAAGAAGUAGACGUACCCAGAGCCUGUGCCUUGCUAAUGGGACUGAUCUACUCACUCAAUCUCAGCUACCCAAAGGAACUAAAAAACACCUUUGAAGUGUUUCAAAAGGUAUUUCUUGAGCUGGAUAGCCUGAAAGCAAGCCCGAAAGUAAUGUCUCUGAAAAUUAAACUGCUGUUCUAAAAUAUCUGAAGAUUGUCUACUAUUUGAGCAGGAAAUGUCAUUUGUUAAUACACUGUGUUUAAAUGUUUUUAAGGUUUACUUAAAGUACACUAAGUUUACACCUAUAAUGGACUCUGGGACGUAAUUUUGGGGGACGGGACGGGUGGGACAUGUCCCCCCCACUUUUUCAAAAGGCAGUUUUGGUCCCCUGCACUUUUUUCCGUCCAAAAACAAUAUUACGCUCCAUUAAAUGGAUUUGGUUGAGCACUAGGACCGAAACGGAAACCGGUUUCCUAUUAGACCCGCCCAAAAGCUAAUCUAUUGGCUCUGCUGAUACUUGCUAACGUAUUAUUGGCUGUUGCUGCUGUCACUCAAGUUGUAAACAGAACGUGCUCACGUUGUUUUGCUAGUUUGGAGCCGCUAGGGAACACCGGUACUGAGUCACAUCGUCAACUAGACGCUGUGUAAUAUCAGAGCUCAGCUCAGCUUCCAUUACAUAACAUUUGAAUAAGUGUUCAUUUGUGAGUCUUUGAUAGUUAGGCACAGCCAGGAGGCAGCAUGUCAAGAAAACGAAAAGUGGAUAUAAGAGACUUCUUUCAAAGUCAAAACUUAAGUUGGAACAUGUGACAGACCUGCAUUAAGCUCAGACUCACCUCCUCCUUCACAAACAUACUCAAAACUAACUUUUACAAACUCAUCUCCUCCACAUAACUGACUCCUCAGACACAAUUUAUUCGUAUUAUUAUAAUUAUUUUUUUAUUAUUAUUACUAUUAUCAUCAUAAUUAUUAUUACUAGUAGUAGUAGUAGUAGAAGUGUAACUUCAAAACUUUUAUCAUUUAACUUUAUUGUAAACUUAUCUAUUGCAAUGUAUAUGUUCACAUUAAAAAGCUCUGAAAAAUGAACAGUAUCAUCAUUGUCAACAGAUUUUUUUAAGCUUAAUGUCAAAGAUGUACACUUUUCAUUAGAUUUAUCUUAUUUUUUCCAUUUAUUUUUUGUGUGUUGAAAUGCAACAACUGUUUAAACACUUUUAAGGGAAAAAACAUUUAAUAUGUUUUUAUACACUCAAAUGUUAGGGUGAUAAUCAUGUGUAAAACAUUAGUUCAGCAUGUCCUCUAACACAGCAAAUGAACAAACGGCCAGAUCUCAGGAGGGACCGUUUAUGUAUAAAUAAUUUUUAUACUUUUGACUAGGCCUGGGAAUGUAACAAAUUUUGCUGGACGAUAUUUUGUCCAACAAAUUGUUGAUGAUAAACGAUAUCAUUGUCAACAUUAUCUAGACCAAAAUAACCACUAAUAUAAUGUUAAUAUAUCAUAAUAAUGCAAGUACACCCUUUAAAAUGCAACAAAUAAACCUUCAUUUAACAUUGAAAUGUCCAGAACCAGAACUACUAAAUGAAUAAAAAUAACAAACAAAAAUUAAAUAAAAAAGGAAUCUCACUCCCUGUUAGAAAAUGUUGCACCAAAAACAAUAAAAAAGACCCAAAACAAUAAAUACAAUGGCCUAUCCAUUGUCAACAGCCAAAACUGCACUUCAAUAAUGAUAAUAAAUAAAAAUAAUAAUAGAGUUGUACA